UUUCCUUUGGCAAUUAUCACAAGGUGCUAUUGCCGCUUCUGUUUUUCGCGAUUGGGUGCUGCAUAUCAUGAGAAAAACGAGCCAAAUAUGAGAUCAAUAAUAGUGCAGGUCUGUCAAGAACUCCUUUUCCAAAAGCAUGAUAAUGGAAAUUGUGGACUUGAACAAAAGAUGUAAUUGUGGAGCCUGUCAAUCAAUAUCAUUCUCUGUUUAAAUCAAAA